GACGAACUCUGGCGGUGUGCCUAAUACAUGCAAGUCGAACGCAUUUUCUUUCACCGUAGUUCUCUACACCGAAAGAAAGUGAGUGGCGAACGGCUGAGUAAAACUAGCGUAACCUGUCCAUUAGCUUGGGAUAACACUAGCUAACAGCGGAUAACACCGCAAACUUCCAUUUACCGCAUGGUAGAACGAUGAUAGGCUCUUUUGCGUCUCUAUUGGAUGCACACGCGGUGGUUUAUCUAGUUGGGGCUGUCACGGCCUACCAAGGCUACGAUGCAUAGCCGGCCUGAGGAGGUGGACGGCCAAACUGGGACUGGGACACGGCCCAGACUCCUACGGGAGGCAGCAAUAGGGGAACUUCGGCAAUGGGCGCAAGUCUGACCGGGCAACGCCGCGGGGGGGGAAGAGGGUUUCGGAUCGGAAAACUCUGUUGUUAAAGGAGGACAAAAAGGGGAGUGGACAGUUCAUGCCUUGACGGUAUCUAACCAGAAAGCCACGGCUAACUACGUG
rnacentral:rRNA from 1 species